UUGGGCACUAUAUAAUGCUGGAUUUUUUUCAUAGCUAAUAUCUCGUAAAGGAACUUGAAAUUUUGCAAGGCAAUAGAAAAUCACUCUCUUACUGUCCUCAUCUUUUUUUAAAACUUUAAAACACCGUUUUCGCGUGGUUUUCAUCAGUGUCCAUCCAAUGUUGGUUUCUCUAUGACAUUUCCCUAAGUAAAAUCUUUUCCCUAUAAUAUAUAUAUAAUAAUAAUAAAGCACAGAUUAACUCCGUGGGUUCACCGUCACAAUACGCUUUCUUCUCAUGUCAUAAUACGCUUUUACGAUUUGUAUAGACAAAAUCGUAAUAUAAACGAGAUGGUACUAAUUUGGGAUACGCACUAAAGAUUUCAUCAAAAUUCCUUAUUAGAACGUUCUUUCGCUCACGGGCUUGGGCUACGUUCUUCCGUUAACGAUUGGGCCGUUACUUUCUAUUGGGCCUUGGAAAAAAGAAAAAUAGACGAGCAAGCAAACCUUCGACGCACGGGCGAGCAGUUGACUAAAAAAAAGAAACACACGAGCAUGACCUCUCCUCGAUGUGCACGGUACCGCCGCCGCCGCCACACGCGGCCGGUCUUCCACUCCGUCUUGCCGCCGCCCUGCUUCCCCUUCCCAUCCGCCCCCAAUCUCCGGCGCCGCCCCAGCCUCCUCUACCUCCAACCUCCUGCUGCCUCCUGCCGUCCGUCUCCAAUUUGGAUCGAAGUCGGAGUCCGUGUUCACGCAGGACAACUUGUCCAACACAAAUCCAUGGAGUGCCCGGCCCGGACUCACAGGGACUUGGAUGCCAUAAGAAGGAGCCCUCUCGACGCGAUCCAACGAGGUGCACACGACGUCGAUGGUGGAGCUCCAGGCGGUAGGCGAUGGCAUCACAUCGGUUGUAGCUGCGUGGGGAAGAGGAGGGGAGGAAGAGGUGGCGCUGCAACUUCCGCCGCCGGCGCUAUCCGUAUCCACCUUCAACUCCGUCUUGAGGAUGUGUUCCGCGACUGGCACCUCCUGCGCCUUGCACGACAGCCAUCGAACCACGCAGUCGGUGCCAUCAUCAUCAGCUUGGCUGCCUGCAGGUGAUAGGCGAACCACGACGCAGUCAGCGCCAUAACCAUCAGCUUGCGUGGUGAUAGGCGAACCACGAUACAGCCGGCGCCUGCUACUGCACCACCAACCCUGGCUGCUCGCGGUAGCCUAAGUCCACUACCGUCACGACUCACGACCCAACGUUGGCUGCCAAAGCGGCAACCUCCGUGCUCUGCUCCUCACAUUGGUUGUGACGAACGGUUCAAUGCAUGCCAUCUGCCGAAGCUUUCCUUGCCAAAUUGUCCUUCAAAGCAAUCUAAUUUUCAUAUGUGGAUUCAGAUUGUUGUUUCAUGAAGCAUAUUGGUUGUGAGGUGUUUGAAAUCUGGCAUGCCUUGCAACACAGUUUGGUCUACAUCCUGAUAUUGAAUUGCUUGCAUACAGCCAUGGGUGUUAUAACUCGUGUUGAUACAAGCCUGGGCCCGCAUGCACGUUGCAAUGAUGGAAAAGAGCAGAAAAGCAUUCCUGUCUGGUUUUCCUUCAGCUAAAUCUUCUAGCAGUUCAAAUGGGGAUGUGAUCUUAUUGCUUUUGUUGGACACUGAACUGGGAUGCGAUGCUAUCUUUCUUGCAGUUUAGAGAGAUAUGUGCUCUUGCUGCUUCUGAAUUUUUUCUCAAACUGGAGGUUCAUCAAUUCUUAUUCUAAUUUCGAUUUCAUGGUGACUACUCGUAAACAUGACAGGGAUGUAGAGAUGUCUUGCAUUUGUGUCCAACAACUGUUUUUCUUAAUGUUUGGAUGAAAAAGAACUUUUUGCAGUGUUUCAGCUUAUCAUACGGUCAAAGCCGGACAUGGUGCGUGCCGUGCCAUGGUCAUUGCUACGUUGAGCGAUGUGGCGUACUAGAAGGUCCAUUGGCAUGGUUCAUCGAGGAGAACUUACAACUGAAGGCCCUUCUCCAGUCUGGCCUCCUCCUCAGUUGAUUCUCCCAGUAAUCAUUUUUUCUUAAUUUGGAUUGAAUGAAAUGUGCCUUUGGUGUUGUCGAUUUUGCACAGAUUGCUGCAUCCGACAGGCAGCACACACCAAUCAUUUGAUAUUUGAGGGACCGCGGGCGCUUUAAGGCAGCAUAGUGCUGACAAUUUAAAGGAUGAGGUAUAAUUUAUUAACAUUGUACAAUUUUAGUAGAGGAAGAAGUACUAGCUAUGGAUGAUUACUGCGAGUAUGAGAUUGUGAGUGGUGUAGGCUUGUUAAGCUACAAGGCUGUUCUGGCUUCUGAUGGUUAAGUUGUUUAGGCAAUGACAGUACUAGAUCAGUUUAAUCCAGUAGAAAUGCAGCUAAGCAAGGCUAGCUGUAAUGUAGAUAAGCAAGGGUAGGAAUGCUUCACUCUUUGGUAUGAACAAAUGGCGUAAAUAGCAGUAAUGCAGCUUAUGGUUUGUAUUUGAUC